rnacentral:misc_RNA from 1 species
UGGCUCUCGCAUCGAUGAAGAACGCAGCGAAAUGCGAUAAGUAAUGUGAAUUGCAGAAUUCAGUGAAUCAUCGAAUCUUUGAACGCACCUUGCGCUCCUUGGUAUUCCGAGGAGCAUGCCUGUUCGAGUGUCUUGAAGUCAUCAACCGGACCCGUUUCUCUGCGGGAACCGGUUGGAUCUGGGGGUGUGCGGGUGCGAGCCCGCUCCCUUCAAAUGCUUCGGUUGGGCCUUUGGGUCGGACUUGACUUGGGCGUUGUACCAUCCUCGCUCUUGCGUCUUGCUGCCUUCCCUGUCCCGGAAACGGGAGCCCACCCCCGACUGCUGGCUAGAGCGGCUGUCGACCUUUUUGAAAUCUGACCUCGAAUCAGGUAGGACUACCCGCUGA